GCGGCGAGAGCUUCCGUUGUCGUAAGAAUAGUCGACAUUUGUUUGUCUUUUCCGUAAAGUUCAAUAUUUUGGACUUCUUGUGGAGUAAAGUGGAGAAAAUCGGAAAGCAGUUUCAGAGUUUGUCUGUCUUUUUGCUGACUCCGAGUUUCUUCUGUUUCCGACCUGCAGAUACGCAAAACUGAGUGUGGAUGGGCCCUGGUUGUUUGAUCUCCUCUUCAGUGUGUUUUAAACUGCACCUUAGUGGGAGUGUGUGUAAAGCUCAGAUCCAAGUGUGACUUGAGGUGAUUCUCUUGGAUCGCUCUUCCCUUAUUAGCCCAUCCACCCCCUGCUGGGAUAGGCUCCAGCGCCCCCCGCGAC